CCUACGGGCUGCACCAGUGGGGAAUAUUGCACAAUGGGCGCAAGCCUGAUGCAGCCAUGCCGCGUGUAUGAAGAAGGCCUUCGGGUUGUAAAGUACUUUCAGCGGGGAGGAAGGCGAUGCGGCUAAUAACCGCGUCGAUUGACGUUACCCGCAGAAGAAGCACCGGCUAACUCCGUGCCAGCAGCCGCGGUAAUACGGAGGGUGCAAGCGUUAAUCGGAAUUACUGGGCGUAAAGCGCACGCAGGCGGUCUGUCAAGUCGGAUGUGAAAUCCCCGGGCUCAACCCGGGAACUGCAUCCGAAACUGGCAGGCUUGAGUCUUGUAGAGGGGGGUAGAAUUCCAGGUGUAGCGGUGAAAUGCGUAAAGAUCUGGAGGAAUACCGGUGGCGAAGGCGGCCCCCUGGACAAAGACUGACGCUCAGGUGCGAAAGCGUGGGGAGCGAACAGGAUUAGAUACCCUUGUAGUC
rnacentral:rRNA from 1 species